CACGUAGGGUGCGAGCGUUGUCCGGAAUUAUUGGGCGUAAAGAGCUCGUAGGCGGUGUGUCGCGUCGGCCGUGAAAACCUGCAGCUUAACUGUGGGCUUGCGGUCGAUACGGGCAUCACUGGAGUUCGGCAGGGGAGACUGGAAUUCCUGGUGUAGCGGUGAAAUGCGCAGAUAUCAGGAGGAACACCGGUGGCGAAGGCGGGUCUCUGGGCCGAUACUGACGCUGAGGAGCGAAAGCGUGGGGAGCGUACAGG
rnacentral:rRNA from 1 species